rnacentral:rRNA from 1 species
GACGAACGCUGGCGGCGUGCCUAAUACAUGCAAGUAGGACGCAGUUGCGAACGGGUGAGUAACGCGUAGGUAACUGCCUAUUAGAGGGGGAUAACUAUUGGAAACGAUAGCUAAUACCGCAUACUAGUAGAUGGACCUGCGUUGUAUUAGCUAGUAGGUAGGGUAAUGGCCUACCUAGGCGACGAUACAUAGCCGACCCUAGAUGGUGAUCCGCCACACUGGGACUGAGACACGGCCCCGACUCCCACGGGAGGCAGCAGUAGGGAAUCUUCGGAAAUGGGGUGAACCCUGACCGAGCAACGCCGCGGGGGUGAAGAAGGUUUUCGGAGCGUAAAGCUCUGUUGGUAAGGAAGCGGUACUUAACCAGAAAGGGACGGCUAACUACGUGCCAGCAGCCGCGGUAAUUC